rnacentral:lncRNA from 1 species
AUGCCAAAGGAAAGAAGGAACAAUGGUCAUGCCAUUCACUUGCAGCCUGUUCACUGCAAGAACUGUGCUCAAUGCAUGCCCAGGAAUAAGGCUAUUAAGAAGUUUGUCAUUAAAAACAUAGCAGAGGCCACAGCAGUGAGGGACAUUUCUGAAGUGAGCCCUCAAUGCUCACAGUGUUUCCCAAGCUGUAUGUGAAGCUAUAUUGCUGUGCGAAUUGUACCAUUCACAGCAAGGUAGUCAGGAAUUGAUCUCGUGAAGCCUGCAAGGACUAAACACCCCUACCACUAUUUAGACCUGUGGGUUCUUCCCCAUGGCCCCAACCAAGGCCCCUGUAA